AUGCAUAUGUAUAUUUAGCAAUCUUUAAGAUUGUAAGUAAUGUGAGCUGGAUGGCUUACGUUGUAAUAUCGUAUGCAAUAUUAACAUGUGGGAAAAAGUUGGUGGCUCCGAUCAAAGUUUGGUUCUGGUAUUGUCUUAUGGACAUAUCAGGACAUACUUCCCGUUUGAAGCUUACCCGUUCCCCCCAUAUACAAUCU
rnacentral:sRNA from 1 species